UACAUCGUGCUAGAAAAAGAACCUGUGCCGGCGUCCUCUCAAACGUUUACACGGUUUUUCUCUUUUACAGAGAGAGGGCAGGCUACCCAGACAAUGACAGGACCAAAGUAUUUGUCUACAGUUUCGUCAGCGUAUUUUUGCUCAUAGGUGGCACAAUAACACCUCCCAUUGCUGGAUACCUUGUGACAGCUUACGGCUACCGAAAUGGAUCUACGUUCAUGUUCGCACUCCUUUCGCUUUGGACUCUUGUUCAAGCGGUUCUUCUGAUCAGUUGUGCAAUCCUCGCAUCAAAAGCAGCAAUCGGAAACGACCCUGAAAACGAACGGUUGUUAGCCGGGUAUAAUGAAAUUCCCGGGGUGAUCCAAAAUACGGCAACGUCCGCCAUCGAGUCACCGACAUAUUUAUCAAUUUCUGAAUAAAACAAAUAAACUAAGGGCGCUCUGCGUGUACAUUGCAGAUAUGAAUACGAAAAGGCAUACAAGUUAUUAACAAUGAAGACACACGCUGAAGAUUCGCUCUAAAACCUGUUCACAUCAUGCCUUGAACUAGCAAAUGAAAGCUCAUCUUUUCGCGCAUCUUUUGUUUCCUACGAUUAGACCUAGAGAAAUUGCGUCGCGUGAAUGACGGCCCUUGUCAUAUGUGACAGGUGCCCAGUUGUAACGUGAACUGCAUACGUGACUAGAAGUUACACAUGAAAAGAAAAUAAAUCGACCGUGUUUGGCGUGGACACUGAACGCGGACUCUUCCUUACUCCCAAAUAAACCAUUAUCCCUGAGUAAUGGUAAUCAUUUCUGAGAGCCGAAAUCAUAUCUAAAAACAUUUGAAUUCAUAUCCAGAUUAACUAAAGACCUCAAGCUUAACAUCCAUAACUUGUUCAUGACCGUAUUCCGGUGACUGAGACUUGAGUUUUGAGAUGUUUGUCUGUUUGUUUCUUUGGUUUUUCUUCAGUCUCGGCUAUUCUAUUAUGAAGCUACACCAGAGAACCUGAUUUAUUAAUUUAGUUUAAAUUACAGAUAUUGAACUUUCUCGAACUCCUUCCCUGUUCAGGUUAGUGCUUGUUAGAAGCUGCAGUGCAGAUCCUCCAACCGAUUUAGCGGAAUCUUUGUGGGGAUUCUUGUGAUCUCCCUUCCCCAAUGGCUGCGAUAACUGCCGCGGCUUGGAACGCUCGGACUCAUUCGCCGUGAGCUCCGACCUGUUCGUGAAGCGCAGAAUCCUGUCUUGGACGGCCCUCCUAUCACUCUUUCCCGGGGGGACCGCUUUCCGUUCCCCCACUCGGAUGUGGAGCACUGCUGACAGGCGAAGAGUUUUCGUCUCUUGUUUUCCCGCUUUCGGGAGGGGGACUCGUCCGGUGACCGCGAAAGAGAUAGGACGUGUAUCGGCGCUUUCUCCGAUGCUUCCCCGAUCUUGGCUCUCCAGAACCCCGUGUGUGGCAGGUAUGGACCUUUUCUUACCUUGCCGACGCGGGGGGCAUUUUGGAUAAGAACAUUGUAGUAUGCUCUUGGACUCUGUUCUUACUCUGGUACGUGUGCCCUCUCUUCCGCUAUAUUCGAGAGAGUGAGACAAAGUAGUCAAUCAUUGGCACCGAAAGAGGAAAAUUAUCGAACCGACCCGCGGUAAUGUAGCCCUAAACGACGUCGAGAUUGCCGCGGGGAUGUGGGUACCGCGCUACUAGGUUUGGCGCCUCUUUGAGAACGCCGACGCUGUUGAGAUAACCCUUUGGCUACUCUAUAGGUACCUCUGUUGGUAGCUAAUAGCCAAUCCCACAUUUUUUAUUAUUUUCUAAAUUUACUUUUGCAUACUAGACUUCUUUAAGAUAGAGCCCAUAUGAUGCAAAAAUAUAUCGCGCUGAGUCCUUUUUUUUACGCAUCUAGCCUUUUACCUUCUAAAAGUUGGUCCACUGGAACCCGGAUUUAUUGCCGCUUUAACGUUGCGACAGUACAUGGGCUAGGAUAUAUGUUCAUGUUUCGUGCAAAGAAUGUACGCUUUCGAACAUGUCAAGAAUGAUCACGACAGAUCUUGAAAUAUUCUAGCCAUAUUGAAGUAAAAAGGUUGCAAGCAGUCUCUAGAUGGUUCUUUCUGGAAACCAGGGCACCAUAUGUGUACGCCGUCUUCGUUCAAGUUUAUUCCAACAGUCACCCCUCGUCACUUGUCAUUUCACGUCUCCCAUAUGUCGUAGAGAUCGUACAAAAAUGAACACAAAAUUCUGCGACGUGUUUAUUUCUUUUUUAAUGUAUUUAAGCGCUUCGGUUUUUCACAAAGCAAUCAUGCUGUAACACAUUUCGGUGCGUAGCGGACCACGCUUGUACGUUCCCUACAUCUGUUUGGUCACAGAGGUCGCGUGUCGUCUAUGGUAAUCUCAUAGCCAACAGCUGUAAACGGUGCAGGUCCUGGUAAAAGCAGCAUAAUAAUUACUUUAAAUUCACAAGCAAGUGCAUACAGUGACGUCUUGUUAAUAAGGACUUCUCCGUCACCUCCCACUCCUUUGCCCCUGCCCCCCCCCCUCCCCUCCCACUGAGUUGUCCAUAAUGUAAGUGAUAUCUCGUUAAUUUGGACAUCUCCGAUCACCCUCAAGUUGUGCAUAACGUGAUUUAAUAACGAGAAAAAUUAUUGUAGGUGCAUAGGUGUACUAUGUAGCAUAAAUUUCUAUAGAACUACGUGGGGGUGGCACUAAAGUCACAGGAUCCUGGAAAAGUAGCGCCAUUGUCUUCCCUGCCUGCUAGCUGGACACAAACAGAUUCAGUCUACUAAAUCCUCGCAAGGUCAUAGGCUGAUCGGUGUCCGUUGCCAUGGCAGUUGCCAUUUAGGCUCCUUAGUAUCUUCGAAGAAGGGAUGCAGGCUCACCUUCAACGAUGCGGCAGCUGCCAAAAAACACCCUGACCGGUCGGGACGGGAAGUGGUCGAGGCCUUCUUCACACUGAGAAGCGACAACAAUGUGAGCCACAAAUCCCUUAAUUUGAGCAGAAAGGAGGAAGGGUUUCUCGAGAACGAGAUAGGGAGC